rnacentral:rRNA from 1 species
CAGCAGCCGCGGUAAUACGGAGGAUGCGAGCGUUAUCCGGAUUUAUUGGGUUUAAAGGGUGCGCAGGCGGGAUUUUAAGUCAGCGGUGAAAUUUUCAGGCUCAACCUGAACACUGCCGUUGAAACUGGGAUUCUUGAGUAUGGAUGAAGUAGGCGGAAUUCGUUGUGUAGCGGUGACAUGCUUAGAUAUAACGAGGAACUCCGAUUGCGUAGGCAGCUUACUAAGCCAUAACUGACGCUCAAGCACGAAAGCGUGGGGAUCAAACAGGAUUAGAUACCCUGGUAGUCCACGCCGUAAACGAUGAUUACUAGUUGUUUGCGAUAUACGAGUAAGUGACUGAGCGAAAGCGUUAAGUAAUCCACCUGGGGAGUACGUUCGGCCAAUGGCUCUCACUGAAAGGAAUUGAC